CUUGUUUGUCCAGAAAGGCAGUAGUGUUGAGGAACAAACAUACUCUUAUGCUUAUAAUUUCUGAGGCUGUAGUGUUUGUUGUACUCCUUUUGUUAGUCCUGCAGGGCUAUUUUUCAUCACAGCCCACUUGGCAAUCUUUUCCUUCUUUACUUAUUUACCACACAGAUUUCCAAGCAGUGCAGCAUGGUGGUUAAUCACAACCAUUAAUCUCAUCCACGACGGCCACUCGCAUUCGAUUCAAAAAUAGCAGCAUUUACAAGAAACACAAUCCCAGAGCAGAUUUUAUCUCUAUGCGACUGCCAGUUAAACGUCCAGAAUGCAAGCACACUGUGCCAUCCUCCCUAACCUAUCGGUGUGAGGAGUAAGCAUGCCACCUAUGAAGUCAGCAGUCCCCAACCCCCACCCUGAACACAUGUUCAACAUCCUCUGGGCACAGGCUGAGCGCAGCGCUGAGACACAGCUGAGAAUUAGAGAGGGAGAGAGAGAGAGAGAGCAGUGAAGUGGAAAUAUGGGUGAGCAUCACAGAAAGACAGAAAUAGAGCGGUAAAGCAGUGAAUUAGGCAGAGGCAGGGAGAGGAGGAGGAGACAGACUCAGUGAGACUGCGAUGCUUGCUACAGCGGCAGAAAGCUUUUUGUGUGUGGACGUGAGAGAAAUUGAUGGAUUUGCUUUUGUCUGAGUCUCAGUGGAAUUCAUCACAUCUGGAUCCAAAGUAGCUGCAGACGGAGGAUGCGACUGUGGCUGGAUGCUAGUAUCCAUGUGGGCCUGUGAUGUCUGCGCUCCCCUCAGUGGCUACCUUCUUCUACAUAAGGAUGUCUGUAGCGUUGCUGACCCAGAUUGUGGAACUGUGGCUCUUCGCUGUGUGUUGCUUCUCAAGUGGUCUGCCAAUGUGAUGUGAACAAGGCAUGCGCUACACCUUGGCGGACACCGUGCAGUCUGCUGCCUCUGCUGACAUCUGUCUCUGUGGAUGCACACAGCAACCGGGCUACAACCACCAAGACUGAUCCAUAAUAAUAAUAAUCCCCAGACAGAGAACAAACAACAUCUGAGCACGGAGAGAGGGGAGAGGGUUAAGUCUCAGCAGUGUGAGCGGCAGAUGGUGACACUGCAGCAGCACUUCUCCAGGUAACACCUUCACCACACCAACAACCUCACUGUGCGCACAAACACAACAUUGUUAAACACACAAACGGCUUAUAAAUACCGAUGAACAG
rnacentral:lncRNA from 1 species